rnacentral:rRNA from 1 species
UACGUAGGCAGCGAGCGUUGUUCGGAAUUACUGGGCGUAAAGAGUGUGUAGGCGGUGCUCUAAGUUCGGUGUGAAAUCUCCUGGCUCAACUGGGAGGGUGCGCCGGAAACUGGAGUGCUUGAGCGUGGGAGAGGAAAGCGGAAUUCCUGGUGUAGCGGUGAAAUGCGUAGAUAUCAGGAGGAACACCUGUGGUGUAGACGGCUUUCUGGACCAUUGCUGACGCUGAGACACGAAAGCGUGGGUAGCAAACAGG